rnacentral:lncRNA from 1 species
GGAGAAAGCAGCACCUGCAGCUCACCACACCUGAACACAUCUCUGAGCACUUCACUGCAUCUGAACCAGGCUGAACAAGUUACCUCCCAGUACACUGACCCCUCUGGGGAACACAAACACCCUAGUUCACACCCACACUCGCAUUAUGGAGCCCUAAUUUAGUCCUGAUGUUUUGAGAUGCACAUGCAAGCUGCUUUUUACAAGGUCACCCCCAGCAGAGACAGGGAAUUUUUCAUUAUUAGCGUGGAGACCUUGAGUUUUGAAAAAUGCUCUUGGCUUUCAGCAUCAUCUGCAUGCUGUUUUUUUCUGUCUUCCUUGCAUUAAAUGGUCAGUAGAAGAGGCUGGAAUUUUUGCAGCAGUCCUGACAGUUGUCUCAGGGGUUCUGUGCAAUGAACCACCUUCAUUUUCAAAGCUCUUCACAAAGAAAUGGUCUCAAAAACACUGUACAGUUUUAAAACUGAAAAGACAAGGGAGUUUACAUGGUACAGAGGGAAACCUGUACUUGGUGACAAAUUAAAACAUUCAGCCACAAAAAUGAUGGCUAAAAGAUGAAGAAAGAAAAGGUAAAACAAUGUUAAAGGAAGAUAUUUUGCUAUUUAGACAUAUUCUCUCUCUCUCCUUGUAUAGGAAAUGUUUUUGAGGUGAGUCCUGACCCUGUUUGUCCUCAAGUGUUAAUGCUGAGUGCUUAGACAGGAAAAUUAUGUCGAUCUGCCAGUCACCAAGUGCCCCUGGGUGCUCUGUUUUUCUCCAUGGCCCUGACAACUCUUCCCACGCCAGAGGAAAUAUUUAGCUCCCAUCUUCCUGUGGAGUAGCAAUUUCCCUAUUUCCAUAGCUUCAGCCUUGCCCGCCGAGCAGCUGCAGUGUCUGUUUGAACUGAGGAAUAUUUAUUUUGUGGAGGUUAUUUCUAAGUCCUGAUCAAAUUAAUUUGAGGGGAAAGAUACCUACAACAUCCUAAAGAACAGCUGUUCCUGACAAAUCAACCCUAGGAAACAUUUUGUCUGUUUAUCCUAUGAAUUGGCAGAACAUGGGCUGCUGUAUCCUGAAAUAUUCUAUCAUCUCCCAUUAAAUAAAUAGGGAACUGAACAGUUCCUAGCUACAGAACACAAAUGGAAGUGGGAGGAAAGUAAACAUCCAGCUUAGCUUUCACCUCAGUGCAUUGCUGGUUCCAGCUCACCUGAAGAUUUCAAUAAUAUCUGUAGGGAAAUAGGCAAGUACCUAGAGGGGUUUUUCUUUUACUGGACAUCAAUUUCUCUGAAGUGCUCACAUCCUUCUUGUCUAAACUUAUACAUUCUACAUGGAUAAAGACAUCUGUAAAACAGGGAAUUAUUUUCCAACCUCUGCCUGGCCGGGGGCCAAAGGCAGCUGUGUGAUGUUCAAUCUUAUAUUCACACAGUGUGGCAUGAAAAAGAAAUGUACAGGGGAGCUCUGAGGGGCUCAAUCAGCCACUCCUCAGGCUGCUUUUCAAUCCUGUAACAUGCAAAUCUUUCCCUUCAGUUAAAAAAAAUUACAAAUAUAUGUAUAUAUGUUUUAUUUUAACAUGGUGAUCUUGGGGGAUUGUGAGUUUGGGGUUCAGAGGCUUUUUUCCCUUUAGGAUUUUUAAUAAUUUCUAAUGGCAGCAGGGAUUCCUGACUCCAGCAUCCACAAUUUUAGCUGCAGGCAGGGCAGCAAGGACAGGCUCUGCUCUGUCAAUCUGGUAAUGAACAGUAAUGACAGACUCUAAGCUGUCAUAAGAGGAUAUGACCAAGCCUUGUUUGGGAAUGCAGAACUCAGCCACAUCUGCUGACAGCCAGCAUGACCUGAGGGAAGGGACCUGCCCACAACAAAGAACUUUUUGCCCACUCACGAAUAAAUCUGACCCCUCCACAUGAUGUUCCCAGCUUCUCCCCUCUCCCCAGUAUCCUUUCUCUCUCCUGUUCCAGAACAGGUGGUCAAAUCUGGAUUAGUUUUAUUGUGUCCUAAACACAAUAAACACAAUGUUAAUUCUGUGUUCUCACUAGACCACAGCUUGUGGGGAGGAGGGAGAAUUUUAAUCCUGGUGAGAUUUCCUACCCUUACAGAUUCCCACAUGGAGAUUGCAGCAGCCUGUGUGCAAGUGUUGGAGCUGCUACAGGCUGUGGAAUUUUGGGGAAGCAGGGGUGAUUUACAAGCCCUGAAAGCAGGAGCUUUCCUGCCCUGGGACCAGGCUGAGCCCCUUCCCUGAGCAGCAGGGCAAGCAGCACCCCCAGUUUUGUUCAGGAAGUCACACCAAUUACAGAGCUAUUGCCUUCCUCAUUUAAGCAGGCAGUUAAUCCGAAUGCUAUUAAAAUCCCAACAUUUCCAGCUUCCCUAAGGAACAGUGAGGGGCUGAUUGAGCAGCCUGUUCAUGGAGCAGGCUCACACCACGCUGCUGCUUCUGUGGUGACACCAGGCAAGAAACAAAUGCUGCACAGUUACUAUAAAUUCAUAUUUUGCUGCCCUCCUUCCCUAGGAGACAGGUCAGAGCAACCUGGAACAGGAUCUGUGCUCCUGCUUCCUCCUGUGACAAAGAAGGUGCCACAGGAGGGCACGAGGAAAGUGAGUCAUUCUUGUCAUCAUUAAUUAAUUAUUGUCCUGCUGCUCCUCCGGGCAAACCAAACAGAUUACACAGGGCAAAAUUGACAUAAACAAGUAGAAAACUCUGCUUAUGAAGGAACUUGGGAAGACAUUCAGUCCCAAACCUGCCAGAGCUCCAGACAAUGAUCCAGUCUGCUCUCUUUCCUGGAUGCCCUUGGGUGUUUGGAUGCAUUCUCCCUGAUGAAGGGGGGGUUCCCAGAUUAAAGGAUGCACAGAAAUUACUCUUCCUGAUGAGCUAAAUGUUUCUGUCUCCAACCUGGAUGGGUGAAGCUUUAGGGUCUGACUAAACCAAAGCCAAGGUCCCCACUUCCCAGCAGGUGCUCCAUGGCAGUCAGUGCAUCCCCAGGUUCCCAAGGGGAGCCACAUCUCCACAUCCAGGGAACUGGGGGCAUCAGGGCAGCCUCAUUCCCAUGGUCUGGAGCCUCCAAGUUUGCAGACACCACCUGGAACAGGGCACACAGGAGCCCCUGCUCUGUCCCACCUCCCUGUGCUCGGGAACUGUGUCUUGUAAAACUGUUCCAGACAGACACAGGUGCACUUUGCAAGAAAGCCACUAAGAAAAUCUAAAUCUCUUCUGGAUUUGUGCACUUCCUUGUCUCUCAGCAUUCCUUGCCUUGGACAGCAAAAGCAGCAUUUCAGAAUAUAGCCUUCCCUGGUGUCCCCUGAGCCACCCCACAGGAAAAACUCACCAGAAAAGGCAAUAUUAUUAAAAAAAAAUAUAUUCCAGUCUCUAGAAAGAGAAGAGAGAAAUCUUCCAGUCCCUCUGCUCAGAGAAAAGCUGUCUGGGGGUGUGCUCGGCCAGAAGGUCCCUGCUGCCUGUCCUGCUGGUCUGUCCCAGCUGUCUGUGCCUCUCCCCAAAGCUGCUGGUGGGGGAGGCUGAGCAGAGCCAGCAAAUGAUGCUCCUGAUGCUCCCCAGAGCGUGGGCUGCCUGCCAAGGAGCACUGCCAGGUGCUUGCUGCUUAAAUGGCUUAAUAUAGUGUAUUAAACAAAGAUCGAUAUCAGGAUCAUGAGCUCCAGGCCUGUCUUGGAGCAUGAGCUUGUCCA